rnacentral:rRNA from 1 species
GACGAACGCUGGCGGCGUGCUUAACACAUGCAAGUCGAACGGAAAGGCCCCCUUGUGGGGUACUCGAGUGGCGAACGGGUGAGUAACACGUGAGUAACCUACCCUUGACUUUGGGAUAACUUCAGGAAACUGGGGCUAAUACCGGAUAGGAGCUCCUGCUGCAUGGUGGGGGUUGGAAAGUUUCGGCGGUUGGGAAUGGACUCGCGGCUUAUCAGCUUGUUGGUGGGGUAGUGGCUCACCAAGGCUUUGACGGGUAGCCGGCCUGAGAGGGUGACCGGCCACAUUGGGACUGAGAUACGGCCCAGACUCCUACGGGAGGCAGCAGUGGGGAAUAUUGCACAAUGGGCGGAAGCCUGAUGCAGCAACGCCGCGUGCGGGAUGACGGCCUUCGGGUUGUAAACCGCUUUCGCCUGUGACGAAGCGUGAGUGACGGUAAUGGGUAAAGAAGCACCGGCUAACUACGUG